CUUGUUGCCCAAAUUUCUUCUGUUUGUAAACAGUAUUAGGAAAUACAUCCAGCUGGAAAAUAAACCAGGAGAAAAGAUUUUGGUUGUAAUGCUACCAUAGAAGAGACAGAUAAGGGCUGAGACCAGCUAUGUGAUGACAGAACUGAAACCUAUGAGCUGUGACUUCAGUCAGCUAUUGGAAGCCAGAUGAAAUUUAUUCCUUCUAUUGAUUCCCAGACGUAAGACUGAACAACUGAGAAAAAGAAGGGAGACUGAGAUAUCAGGAAAAUCAUCAUUUAAAGUGGGAGGCAAGGAAGCGCUGAGGUGGGAAGGAAGGAAAGGGUGAAGGAUAUGAUUGUCUCCUUCUGUUCCAUUCUCACAAGGCCCCAUUUGCAGCACUGCACUCAGCUUUGGGCCUCCA
ensembl:lncRNA